CUAGCAAAAAUGCCCGUGCGUUGCAACGGGUACAAAAUAAAUACAUGUGUGUGCUUUGAAAUUUGAAGAAAAAAACCACUUUGCAUACAUGGCAUGAUUGCAACUCAGAUCUGAAUGAAAUUUUCCAUGUAUAUGAAAUAGCAAAGUUUAACACACUGCCCAGUGAUGUACCAGUGUCAAGUUUUGUCUUUCGUAAAUCAGGAACAGGUCUUGUAUCUCUUGUGAUGUGAUUCGUCCCUAUGUCAGAAGAUAGUUAGAAAUCAAAACAGGGUGUGGAAAGAAACAUGUAAAAGAGUGCUAUAGUGACUAUUGUUGGCAACAGGGAGGUAGUUAUAGACACAGUAAAAUAUGUUGGCAUGGCCUAUGAUUUUUGCUUGGAGAAAAUAACUACAGAAAAGAGCACAAAUACGUAAGUAAUUUGGUAUGAUGGCCCAACUAAUAUAUAUGUUGCUCUAAUAAAUUGGUUAGACAUUGGCUAAAAGCCAAAUAAUCCCUUUUUCACUACAGACAACAGCUAGAGCAAGGGAUUGAUGUAUCAGGUAAAGUAAACUGCCAAAUCCCUCUUUACUAUUGGAUAUUCUUCAGAAAACAUAGUCCUGCAUGUAUAUAUUGAGCAAAAUGAAUGAAGAAAAGGGAACAUAUUCACUCAUGGUAAAAGUAAUUGCACUCUGACAACUAAGAGAAUAAGUUAGAGCAGGGGAGAUUGCUCUUUCUAAGCUAUAAUAGCAUGCAAAAAAUGGGCCCUUUAUGAAGAUGAAGGUAGACCAUCAAGUUGCAGUAAGUGAAGUGCUGGACAGUGAUAUACAGUAUGGUUGUUUUGUAAUGUGUCCCCUCGUAUUUAAAUAUGCGAUGUGAUGCUACAGUAGACAGUAAACAAACAAAAAAUGGCCGUCAUACAUGAUUGUUAGAAAGAGGCCUCACAUUUGAUCGAUAUCAUGAUUGUUGCGCCAUGAUACACCAUUUUCAAUCUUGCAAAACCGACCGGCCUUAUUCAUGUCAGACCUGCACAAAGGUUAUAGGCGUCUCAGAUUCUAUUGAAUUCACUACUGGUUUAAUUCUCAAAAUUUGGUCUCAACAAAUAGAAAAGGUAAGUAAGUAUUAGCAUAAUGAAAUGUAAUUAAUGUCACUUAAAAACCAAAAUAGUCCACCCAAAUGCAGUUAUAAAAAUUCUAGAACGAGAAAGAAAGAGCCUGUGCAUUGCAAUAAUGGGGAUAAUACUUAUUUCUCUCCCUCCAUAUCUCCUUCGGGUGUUGAUGCUCUCGAUCUACUUGAGCAAGCGCAUAGUGUUAGAGCUUGAUGCUCCUCUAGAGGGCAGCACUCAUAUUGCUGUACAUCAAUCAGUGUAAAUAAUUAAGGAGCAACAUCAUAUAAAUUCAACGCAAAUGUUGCAGGCAUAUGAAAAAGAAUGUUUGUACUACAGAAAGAUCAUGGGCAGACGAAAGACCACAAAUUUGAAUACAUAUCACUUGUUCCCCUCUUCAUGAUCAUUGAAAUUAGAUGAAUUUGUAACCUUUUUGUUUCUCUAGUGAACAUGAAACAGGGACAACAAUUCAGAAACAAUAAACCCAAACAGAGGCUCUAUGAACUGAUUUUCUUUCAAGGGGAUACAUACCCCUGUCAUCGUCAUGUCCUCUGCAGAUCGAGCAUGCCGCCCCGACGGUAGACGUGGAGCCCCGUGAUCGCUGCCUAGCGCCUGCGCUCCCCCGUCUGCUGACUCCACGCCGUCCUAGCUCCAUUGGAGCCAGCCCAGCCUUUCUUCGCUCGUUCCGUUCCCUUUCCUUCGUUCCUUUCAUGUCCCCCAUCUGCACAU
rnacentral:lncRNA from 1 species